rnacentral:rRNA from 1 species
AAAGGAAUAGACGGGGGCCCGCACAAGCGGAGGAACAUGUGGUUUAAUUCGAUGAUACGCGAGGAACCUUACCCGGGUUUGAACGCAUUCGGACCGAGGUGGAAACACCUUUUCUAGCAAUAGCCGUUUGCGAGGUGCUGCAUGGUUGUCGUCAGCUCGUGCCGUGAGGUGUCGGCUUAAGUGCCAUAACGAGCGCAACCCUUGCCACUAGUUACUAACAGGUAAAGCUGAGGACUCUGGUGGGACUGCCAGCGUAAGCUGCGAGGAAGGCGGGGAUGACGUCAAAUCAGCACGGCCCUUACAUCCGGGGCGACACACGUGUUACAAUGGCGUGGACAAAGGGAGGCCACCUGGCGACAGGGAGCGAAUCCCCAAACCACGUCUCAGUUCGGAUCGGAGUCUGCAACCCGACUCCGUGAAGCUGGAUUCGCUAGUAAUCGCGCAUCAGCCAUGGCGCGGUGAAUACGUUCCCGGGCCUUGUACACACCGCCCGU